rnacentral:tRNA from 1 species
GCCCAGCUGAUUCAGUCCAUGGAACAUGUGACUCUUGAUCUCAGGGUCAUGAGUUCGAGUCCCAUGUUGGGUA